AGAGUUUGAUCAUGGCUCAGGACGAACGCUGGCGGCGUGCUUAACACAUGCAAGUCGAGCGGAAAGGCCCUUCGGGGUACUCGAGCGGCGAACGGGUGAGUAACACGUGAGCAACCUGCCCUUAGCUUCGGGAUAGCUCCGGGAAACCGGAAUUAAUACCGAAUACGACCACGGCUGACAUCGGCUGUGGUGGAAAGGAC
rnacentral:rRNA from 1 species